rnacentral:rRNA from 1 species
GUGCCAGCAGCCGCGGUAAUACGAAGGGGGCUAGCGUUGCUCGGAAUGACUGGGCGUAAAGGGCGCGUAGGCGGAGUGCUUUGUCGGGCGUGAAAUUCCAGGGCUCAACCUUGGGGCUGCGUUCGAGACGGGCAUUCUUGAGUGGGGAAGAGGGUCGUGGAAUUCCCAGUGUAGAGGUGAAAUUCGUAGAUAUUGGGAAGAACACCGGUGGCGAAGGCGGCGACCUGGUCCUUUACUGACGCUGAGGCGCGAAAGCGUGGGGAGCAAACAGGAUUAGAUACCCGCGUAGUCC